UCCGGUUUGGCACCGGCAGUCUCCCUAGAGUUCCCGGCAUGACCCGCUGGCAACUAAGGACAGGGGUUGCGCUCGUUGCGCCACUUAAGGCAACACCUCACGGCACGAGCUGACGACAGCCAUGCACCACCUGUGCAGGCUCCGAAGAGCGCCCGCUUUCACGGGUUUCACCCUGCAUGUCAAGCCCAGGUAAGGUGGGGAUGACGUGUCCUUGAUAGG
rnacentral:misc_RNA from 1 species